rnacentral:rRNA from 1 species
AGAGUUUGAUCAGGCUCAGAACGAACGCUGGCGGCAGGCCUAACACAUGCAAGUCGAGCGCACCUUCGGGUGAGCGGCGGACGGGUUAGUAACGCGUGGGAACAUACCCUUCUCUAAGGAAUAGUCUCGGGAAACUGGGGGUAAUACCUUAUAAGCCCUUCGGGGGAAAGAUUUAUCGGUGAAGGAUUGGCCCGCGUAAGAUUAGAUAGUUGGUGGGGUAAUGGCCUACCAAGUCUACGAUCUUUAGCUGGUUUGAGAGGAUGAUCAGCAACACUGGGACUGAGACACGGCCCAGACUCCUACGGGAGGCAGCAGUGGGGAAUCUUAGACAAUGGGCGCAAGCCUGAUCUAGCCAUGCCGCGUGAGUGACGAAGGCCUUAGGGUCGUAAAGCUCUUUCGCCAGAGAUGAUAAUGACAGUAUCUGGUAAAGAAACCCCGGCUAACUCCGUGCCAGCAGCCGCGGUAAUACGGAGGGGGUUAGCGUUGUUCGGAAUUACUGGGCGUAAAGCGUACGUAGGCGGAUUAGUCAGUCAGAGGUGAAAUCCCAGGGCUCAACCCUGGAACUGCCUUUGAUACUGCUAGUCUUGAGUUCGAGAGAGGUGAGUGGAAUUCCAAGUGUAGAGGUGAAAUUCGUAGAUAUUUGGAGGAACACCAGUGGCGAAGGCGGCUCACUGGCUCGAUACUGACGCUGAGGUACGAAAGUGUGGGGAGCAAACAGGAUUAGAUACCCUGGUAGUCCACACCGUAAACGAUGAAUGCCAGACGUCGGGGGGCUUGCCCUUCGGUGUCACACCUAACGGAUUAAGCAUUCCGCCUGGGGAGUACGGUCGCAAGAUUAAAACUCAAAGGAAUUGACGG